GACGAACGUUGGAGGAGGGAGGAACACAGGCAAGUCGAACGGAAAGGCCCUGCUUUUGUGGGGUGCUCGAGUGGCGAACGGGUGAGUAACACGUGAGUAACCUGCCCUUGACUUUGGGAUAACUUCAGGAAACUGGGGCUAAUACCGGAUAGGAGCUCCUGCUGCAUGGUGGGGGUUGGAAAGUUUCGGCGGUUGGGGAUGGACUCGCGGCUUAUCAGCUUGUUGGUGGGGUAGUGGCUUACCAAGGCUUUGACGGGUAGCCGGCCUGAGAGGGUGACCGGCCACAUUGGGACUGAGAUACGGCCCAGACUCCUACGGGAGGCAGCAGUGGGGAAUAUUGCACAAUGGGCGGAAGCCUGAUGCAGCAACGCCGCGUGCGGGAUGACGGCCUUCGGGUUGUAAACCGCUUUCGCCUGUGACGAAGCGUGAGUGACGGUAAUGGGUAAAGAAGCACCGGCUAACUACGUG
rnacentral:rRNA from 1 species